rnacentral:rRNA from 1 species
UCCAGACUCCUACGGGAGGCAGCAGUGAGGAAUAUUGGUCAAUGGCCGGGAGGCUGAACCAGCCAAGUCGCGUGAGGGAAGACGGCCCUACGGGUUGUAAACCUCUUUUGUCAGGGAGCAAGGUGCAGGUCGGGACCUGCUGUGAGAGUACCUGAAGAAAAAGCAUCGGCUAACUCCGUGCCAGCAGCCGCGGUAAUACGUAGGGGGCGAGCGUUAUCCGGAAUUACUGGGUGUAAAGGGAGCGUAGACGGCGAGGUAAGCCUGAAGUGGAAGCCCGCGGCCCAACCGCGGAACUGCUUUGGGAACUGUUUUGCUGGAGUAUGGGAGGGGUAAGCGGAAUUCCUGGUGUAGCGGUGAAAUGCGUAGAUAUCAGGAGGAACACCGGUGGCGAAGGCGGCUUACUGGACCAUAACUGACGUUGAGGCUCGAAAGCGUGGGGAGCGAACAGGAUUAGAUACCCCGGUAGG